CGCCAAAUAGCCACCAAAAUUCCCCAUCUCGAACUCUCGCGCGCGGAGAGAGAGGAGGAGGUGUAGCGCGCGACGCUUCCACCGUGAUUGGAGCCAAGACCUUCGCUGUUGCCAUGGAGAUUGUGAGAUCCCACCGACCGGCAGGAAGAGGAGAAACUGGGAAUUCUAUUGCUCAAUGUGGUCUCGGAAUUCCAGCAGCAGGAUGGUAUCCCACAAAAGUGAUGGGUGUCCCAAAAAACAGAUUCCCAAAGGUGAAAACACCUGACAUUGACAAUACUCAAGUAUGGUCUGUGAAUGUUCCACUUGGAAAAGUAAUUACCAGGUACCUAUUUUCUGGUAUUGUCUUUUCUCAUGGAUAA
rnacentral:lncRNA from 1 species